CGGGAUGAGAAGUCAAAAUCUCAAAAAUUUCCUAAACUGAAAAUUUGAAAAAAAAAAUCAGUUUGGGUCAAUCAAAAUGUUUCAUUUUGAUCAUUUCAAAGUGUUUUAUUUCAGUUUUGACUCUUAAUUUCUUUAACUAUCGCUAGCUGAAAUUUUGAAAUGAAAAGUUGUUUAGGAAUCAGAACUUUUCAUUUCAAAAAAUGCUAAAAUGAAACAUUCUGAACAUUUUCAAAAAAUGUCAAGUAAAGAAAUUAAUCAAAACUGACCCUUUUGCAUGAGAAAUUUUGGUUUUUGAUAAAUCAGCAUGUUCUGAUGAGAAACACUGAGUAAAAACCAUUCCCGACUAGCUCUGAUUGCUCUUCCUUUUUGUAUACUCCUUGGUGAAUGACCAUAAGACAUUGUAAGAAAAGAAUUGCUUUGAAAAGCUUCUUGGUCUAUUACUUCUGUUCAUUGUUAUUUUCUAUCCAAGUUACUGACCUGCUUAAAACACUGAAGUGGUUCAGAAAUAGACAGAUGUCUUCAGCCUAGGAAAUAAAUGACCAAGGAGUCAUGCGUGAGGAGUCAACACAAGUAUAACAGAUGCAUUCUGGAACCUUGGGAGAGACGGACUCUGAGCACUGAGGCUUCUUCACACCCCUUAUGGCACAAUUUCCACCGUGCUUCUUACAUUCUCGUUUAAAUUGAUGGCAACCAUGCAGCCGAACAUACCGGGCAUGGGAGUCAAAACUCCUCACCAGUGCUUCCCCGUGCAACUGGCACACUCUCAAUGCAUCGCCCUCACCAUUCAAGUGGAGUGUGGACAUUUAAAAGACGGUCACUGGAGCCGAUGCACUAGGAAUGAGAGUGGGAUCUGGCUGCAGGUUCUGCUGCAUUUGUCCAUUGCCCCAUUUGGACAAAGACAGACUUUUGGGCAGUCCACACCCCACUGCUGCAGGACAUGGCCCGGGGACACCAGUUAAUGUGCAGAUGUUUAGGUGGUAACUCUGAGUAUCAGUGGAAGAACAGCAUUCCCACCCAGCCCAUUUCUAGUUCCUACGGCUCCUGGGAGGCUCAAGUGUCAUGUAGUUGACCUCUCAAUGACAGUGAUGGCACCUGUGGCUGUUCUAGCUUGAGCAGAGUGCUCAGUUCAAUCAAAAGGCCAUUUCCCCCUGAAAAGUGCGAGACCUGAACAUCCAAGCCAGGCUCUGAAAAUCAAAGGGCUUUUUACAUCAGCAAUAAAGAUUCUGCCAUCAGGACGUCCAGAAUUUGGCAAUUCUGCUGCUGAUACAACAGACAGAAGAGAUUCCACCUUGCUUUUCCAGAGCUGGCUCAAUCUGCAGUGGGAACUUCAUGCAAAAACUGGGUCAGCGAAGGAAGCAGGUGUGACCUAAGACACACAGGGCACAGUUUUUAACACCGAGCGCACCCAGCUGCGGGUGCCUAACUUCAUGCACAAUCACCAUCCUUGCGGGUGAUAAUACGAUCAGAAACUGAACACAUAAUUUUACUCUUUUCUGGCUUCCCCACUUUUUAUUCCAAUUGGGUUUUACUAGAGGUUUCAUGGGUCUUAAACAAUGAGGUUAAUAUCUGAGUAUAAAUGCACAGGCUAGAUGCCUAACAUGUCCAAUGUUGUUUUCUUCAACCGCCUGGAAUUCAGGAGCUAACCGAGCAUGUACAACCUACAAGGGAUGAGAGGUAUUGUUUCAGAUGUUCUUAGCAUCGGCAGCAGACUCAGACAAAGUCAGUUUUCCUUUGCAGGCCUUUUGAAAAUUCUAAGGCUCUGAACUCAAUCGACAGAAAAUACCUGUUUUGCCAUGCAAACAACAUUGUAGUAGCGGUUAUAGUUCAGUCACGGGAAAACAGAAUUAGAAGCCAUUUGGAUAUAAGCUCAAAGGCUCGCACUGUGUAUGGACACUUGCCUUUCGUUGCAGGCUUCAUGUACUUUCAGCAAAGAGCACUUUAUGGGAAAUACUGUUUGCUGAACGUGUAACACUGCUCACAUGGAUGGAUAGUACACAGACAUUCAUGUGCAGAAAAACUCACACCAAAAACUUCAAACAUGCGAACAAGCACAUUGCCACAGCACACAAGGGUCACUGCAUGAAAACACCUGGCUGCGUCCCCAAGAUAACGCAUCACACAAGCAAACAAAGAGUGGAGGAAAAACCAGUGGAUUCAAAUAAGGUGCAGUUCCAACCCCUUCCAGUUUACCUCUGGCUGCGAGUGUGUGGCUGGCACACAGACAUGCUAAAGUACUUACUGUGUGUCAAGCAGGAGUUCUGGAGUGCGAUGCUGCUUCCUUCCUCCGAUGAUUGGACUCUGUGAGCCAAAGAGCCCCUGUUUGCCUGUUUUAUGCCUUGCCUUAGUGCUGAUGUCACAGACAAAGCCAGCCCUGGACAAAGCCAGGGCAUUUUCACGUCAGCUCCCCUCCCCAUAACCCAUUAUGUUAAUUUGUAUCAAAUCAAGAAAGGGAUUUUCAUGACUCAUGAGGGCGCCUAUUUUAUCUUGGGAUUCUAAUAUUUUCUUCAUUUGGACAAAUCAGAUAGCUUGGAAAUACGCUAAUCUUUCCCCCACGUGGGCCAUUAUUUCCCACGUAAGGAGCUGGACCUCAUCAGGGAGUGUAUGUUGUGCAGACGCAUUCCACAAGGUGCACACUGGUACGUAUCUGCAUGUGGUUGCUGAAUUAAGCUACAAUGGUGUAAAUCCCACUUGGUGCUUCUAUGUUA